rnacentral:rRNA from 1 species
UGCUUGCACUCAAUUGGAAAGAGGAGUGGCGGACGGGUGAGUAACACGUGGGUAACCUACCCAUCAGAGGGGGAUAACACUUGGAAACAGGUGCUAAUACCGCAUAACAGUUUAUGCCGCAUGGCAUAAGAGUGAAAGGCGCUUUCGGGUGUCGCUGAUGGAUGGACCCGCGGUGCAUUAGCUAGUUGGUGAGGUAACGGCUCACCAAGGCCACGAUGCAUAGCCGACCUGAGAGGGUGAUCGGCCACACUGGGACUGAGACACGGCCCAGACUCCUACGGGAGGCAGCAGUAGGGAAUCUUCGGCAAUGGACGAAAGUCUGACCGAGCAACGCCGCGUGAGUGAAGAAGGUUUUCGGAUCGUAAAACUCUGUUGUUAGAGAAGAACAAGGACGUUAGUAACUGAACGUCCCCUGACGGUAUCUAACCAGAAAGCCACGGCUAACUACGUGCCAGCACGCGCGGUAAU